rnacentral:rRNA from 1 species
AGAGUUUGAUCCUGGCUCAGGAUGAACGCUGGCGGCGUGCCUAAUACAUGCAAGUCGAACGGUGUAUAUGAGCAAUCGUAUACAUAGUGGCGAACGGGUGAGUAACGCGUUGGUGACCUGCCCUAAAGCGGGGGACAACAGCUCGAAAGGGCUGCUAAUACCCCAUACAGUUGUGAGAGAUUAGAAACUUGCAACGAAAGGAGUAAUCCACUUUAGGAGGGGCCUGCGUCCCAUCAGCUAGUUGGUAGGGUAACGGCCUACCAAGGCGUAGACGGGUAGGGGACCUGAGAGGGUGGCCCCCCACAAUGGAACUGAAACACGGUCCAUACACCUACGGGUGGCAGCAGUAGGGAAUAUUGCACCAUGGGCGAAAGCCUGAUGCAGCAACGCCGCGUGAGUGAUGAAGGCCUUCGGGUCGUAAAACUCUUUUCAAGGGAAAGAGGAAGGACGGUACCCUUGGAAUAAGCAUCGGCUAACUACGUGCCAGCAGCCGCGGUAACACGUAGGAUGCAAGCGUUAUUCGGAUUUACUGGGCGUAAAGCGCGUGUAGGCGGUUAGGAGAGUUGGAUGUGAAAGCUCCCGGCUUAACUGGGAGAGGUCGUUCAAAACUUCCUGACUAGAGUUUGGUAGAGGAAAAUGGAAUUCCGGGUGUAGUGGUGAAAUGCGUAGAUAUCCGGAGGAACACCAGUGGCGAAAGCGAUUUUCUGGACCGAUACUGACGCUCAGACGCGAAAGCUAGGGUAGCAAACGGGAUUAGAGACCCCGGUAGUCCUAGCUGUAAACGAUGUAGACUUGGCGUUGGGAGAGUAAAAUCAUCCAGUGCCGAAGCAAACGCGAUAAGUCUACCGCCUGGGGAGUACGGCCGCAAGGUUAAAACUCAAGGAAUUG